CAACUUACCUGGCAGGGAGAAUACCACGAUCAAGAAGGAGGUUUCCCUAGGGUGAGGCUCUUCCAUUGCAUAUUUUGGUUGGAUUCCUCCCUGUGAUUUCCCCAAAUGUGGGAAACUCAACUGCAUAACGUAUAAUAAUGCAAAUAUAUUCUUCAGAACUCAGCU